rnacentral:rRNA from 1 species
GCUACCAUGCAGUCGACGGUAACAGGCGGAAGCUUGCUUCUGCGCUGACGAGUGGCGGACGGGUGAGUAAUGCAUAGGAAUCUGCCCGGUAGUGGGGGACAACUCGGGGAAACUCGAGCUAAUACCGCAUACGCCCUACGGGGGAAAGCGGGGGACCUUCGGGCCUCGCGCUAUCGGAUGAGCCUAUGUCGGAUUAGCUUGUUGGUGGGGUAACGGCCUACCAAGGCGACGAUCCGUAGCUGGUCUGAGAGGACGAUCAGCCACACUGGGACUGAGACACGGCCCAGACUCCUACGGGAGGCAGCAGUGGGGAAUAUUGGACAAUGGGGGCAACCCUGAUCCAGCAAUGCCGCGUGUGUGAAGAAGGCCUGCGGGUUGUAAAGCACUUUCAGUGGGGGAAGAAAAGCUCAAGGUUAAUACCCUUGAGUCUUGACGUUACCCACAGAAGAAGCACCGGCUAACUCCGUGCCAGCAGCCGCGGUAAUACGGAGGGUGCGAGCGUUAAUCGGAAUUACUGGGCGUAAAGCGCGCGUAGGCGGCUUGAUAAGUCGGAUGUGAAAUCCCCGGGCUCAACCUGGGAAUUGCAUUCGAUACUGUCAGGCUAGAGUGUGUAGAGGGAAGUGAAUUUCCGGUGUAGCGGUGAAAUGCGUAGAUAUCGGGAAGAACA